UGGCGGGAUGCUUUACACAUGCAAGUCGAACGGCAGCACGGACUUCGGUCUGGUGGCGAGUGGCGAACGGGUGAGUAAUAUAUCGGAACGUAUCCAAUAAUGGGGGAUAACUAAUCGAAAGGUUGGCUAAUACCGCAUACGCCCUACGGGGGAAAGCUAGGGACCUUCGGGCCUGGCGUUAAUGGAGCGGCUGAUAUCUGAUUAGCUAGUAGGUGAGGUAAAGGCUCACCUAGGCGACGAUCAGUAGCUGGUCUGAGAGGACGACCAGCCACACUGGAACUGAGACACGGUCCAGACUCCUACGGGAGGCAGCAGUGGGGAAUUUUGGACAAUGGGCGAAAGCCUGAUCCAGCCAUUCCGCGUGAGUGAAGAAGGCCUUCGGGUUGUAAAGCUCUUUCGCAAGGGAAGAAAACUUAGGCGCUAAUAUCGCUUGAGGUUGACGGUACCUUGAUAAGAAGCACCGGCUAACUACGUGCCAGCAGCCGCGGUAAUACGUAGGGUGCGAGCGUUAAUCGGAAUUACUGGGCGUAAAGCGUGCGCAGGCGGUUUUGUAAGUCAGAUGUGAAAUCCCCGAGCUCAACUUGGGAACUGCGUUUGAAACUAUAAGACUAGAAUAUGUCAGAGGGGGGUAGAAUUCCACGUGUAGCAGUGAAAUGCGUAGAGAUGUGGAGGAAUACCAAUGGCGAAGGCAGCCCCCUGGGAUAAUAUUGACGCUCAUGCACGAAAGCGUGGGGAGCAAACAGGAUUAGAUACCCUGGUAGUCCACGCCCUAAACGAUGUCUACUAGUUGUUGGUGGAGUAAAAUCCAUGAGUAACGCAGCUAACGCGUGAAGUAGACCGCCUGGGGAGUACGGUCGCAAGAU
rnacentral:rRNA from 1 species